rnacentral:lncRNA from 1 species
CACCCUUGCAGUCAGGCUUCACCUUCAUUGUCCUCCUUUACCAAGAACGAAGGAAAAGUUUCCAUCUGUAGAGCAUGAAAACAAACAUAGGUGGGUAGGAAAGUCAAGCAUCCUUGUCUCAGCAGUGUCCCUCAGUGGCCACAGGCUGGCCUCAAACUGCCCAUUCUCUUGCCUCAGCCAUGACUUAGACUCUUGCAACCUCAGCUUCCUCAGCCGAUGGAUGGAUGGGCUUGGUGAAGCCUAUUUCCUGAGUCGUGAUGAGUGCUGGUUGAGAUGGCCCUAGCUGCCUCUUCGGACUGUGACAGACUCACCCAACAGCAGCACCCUGAACAUUCCACAGCCAGUGGAGCACAGGGGGUUAAGGAUUCAGAACCUUUCUCUCCAACAGAGGAGAAAAUAGUGCCACUUCCGGGGCACUUGAAGGACAGAUUGCUGGGGAUGGGACUGCAAUCGGGCCUCGGAGAGGGAGAAGUGAUUGCUGCCCUCAUUAAUAUUACUGCUGGCAAAGGCUGCGUGGGACUCAAUCAGAGCAAGAUGGAAACACUGGGGCUGGAGAGAUGCCUCAGAGGUUAAGAGCAUUGACUGCUCUUCCAGAGGUCCUGAGUUCAAUUCCCAGCAACCACAUGGUGGCUCACAAGCAUCCGUUAUGAGAUCUGGUGCCCUCUUCUGUUGUGCAGAUAUACAUGGAAGCAGAAUGUUGUAUACAUAAUAAAUAAAUAAAAUCUAAAAAAAAAAAAAAAGAUGGGAACACUCAGCUCUUCCUGCUACUAUACUAUGUCUUCACUCUACCAUCAUGGACUCCAGCCCUCUGAAACCAUAAGGCAAAUUAAACACUUUCUUAUAUUUAUUUGUUUUUAUUUUUUGUAUAUGGGUAUUUUGCCUGCAUGCUUGUAUAUGUACCAUGUGUAUUCCUGGUGCCUGGAGGCCAGACAACAGCAUCGGAUCCCCCAGAACUGGAGUUAUGAGCUGCCAUGUGGGUGCUGGGAAUCAAACCUGGAUCUUCUGCAGAAGCAACCAGUUCUCUCAGCCACUGAUCAAGCUACCUUCACAGCUCCCAAUAUUCUCUUUUUUAUUAUUUCUUUUUAUUUUAUAUGUAUAAAUAUUUUGCCUGCGUGGAUGUAUGUGCACAUGUAGGCACAAAGGCUUCUUGAAGGCAGAGCUUUGGAAUGGAAGUCUCUGGACCAUAGGAGAUUAUCACACUGGCAAGGAAAUACUCAAAGUUGUGAGGUCUUCAAACACUGAGAAACCACAGAGGCAACCAGCUGAC